UGGUUCUCAAAAAAAGAAUUUUAGUCCAACCUAAAGUUACACAAAUUUACAUAAAUUUCUCCACUCACUUUAGAGCAAUUCAAAUGAGGUACAGCCCAUUUGAUACAGGAUCCAACCUUUACUAACGGGUAAUAUCUGACUCCACCCCAAGUAGGCUUAAGAGCAGCCACCUUUUAAAAAGCGUCAAACCUUAACAUAUUAACACCAAUUCAUAACCCCCCCAUCAACCCCUUUCACCCUACUGAGAACUUCUAUAACAUUAUAGAACCUUUAAUGUUAAAACUAGUAACAAGAGAUACACCCUCUCUAUGAUGCAAACUCAAACCAGCAAGAACCUCUCACUGGUGAUUAACAGAAACAAAGUAGUAACUUUCUCAAGAAAACUCUACUCCCUCAACUGUUAACCUAACACAAGAGCAUCCCAAGAAAGAUUUAAAGAAAAAGAAGGAACUCGGCAAAUAUCAAUCUCGCCUGUUUACCAAAAACAUCGCCUCUUGUCACCUAUAAGAGGUCCAGCCUGCCCAGUGACUCUUGUUCAACGGCCGCGGUAUCCUAACCGCGCGAAGGUAGCGUAAUCACUUGUCUUUUAAAUAAAGACUAGUAUGAAAGGCACCACGAAGAUUAAACUGUCUCCUCUCUCCAAUCAGUGAACCUAAUCUCCCCGUGAAAAAGCGGGAAUUUUUAUAUAAG
rnacentral:rRNA from 1 species